AGAGGGCGUGAAACUGCAUAGAAGGAAACGUGAGGUGCUGUUUUUGCUGUCAGUGUUCAGCCGUGGAGGCUCAUGUCUCUGCGGUGCAUUCGCUGUCAGUGGCGCUGGAACUGAUGGAGUGGGAAGGUUGAUUUUUCUGUUUGGUCGCUGCUUCUUGCAGUGGUCAGCGGUUUUGUUGAUCUAACCACUCUAUUGGUCUUAUUGGCAUUUAAUGGGCAAUUUGAGGUUUGACAGGCAGUUUCCCAUUUUGAUGUGCAUCGUCUUUGUGGGUUUCUGUCUUCUCUCCUUUCGUUGCUUUGAUGUUUCCAGUGUAAAAUACGGCUUACCUCUCGACCCGUCUUGAAACACGGACCAAGGAGUCUAACAUGUGCGCGAGUCAAUGGGUUUUAAACUCAGUGGCGCAAUGAAAGUGAAUGACGGCUCUGUCGACUGAUACACGACCUGAAGCGAUUCAGUGCAGUGUAGUCCCAUUCCGAUUGCUCGUCAAUGGGGUGGAGAAAGAGCGUAUUUGUUGGGACCCGAAAGAUGGUGAACUAUGCCUGAACAGGAUGAAGCCAGA
rnacentral:rRNA from 1 species